CUUCAGUCAAAGACAGUAAUUACUGUAUGUCACUUCGAGUAUUCCUCUAACUAAACGCCUCUCUUCAACAUGGGGCAUUUAAAAACAAGUGUCCCUGCAGUCUACCAGGAUCUGCUCCAGAGACUCGGGCUGGUCAGAGAGCUCCAGGUUGAAGCCCUCCAUGCCCUCCAGCAGCUGGUGGGGGUGGUGGAAGUCCAGGACCUUAGUGGAUCUGUCAAAGGUCUUCCGGACGUAAUUGAAUAAACACAGUUCGUCUGCUUCGACCGUCUUCCCGAGCCUACCUCUGGCGAAAAGGUUGGAGAAGUCGACCUCGGUGCGUCUGAAACGCGCGUCUCCGCCGAUGUUAUCGCAGGACAGCAGGUUCUUGGCUGUGCGCUCCUUCAGGGAACUCACAAUCCUGCUCCUCUCCUCCAGACUGUUGUUCUUCUGCAAAAAUCCUAAACGUUUACAGGAAGAGGAGUCCGCAGUACAGGAUGGCGUUUGAAUGGUGAAGAUGUAACCCACGACAUUAUGACACACUGGACGGGACGAAACCCCCCCAAAUCCACAAGGUGGCAGUGAGAAACCAAGAAUGACUCCUGCAGCACACAAACGGGCCACUCCAGGAAUACCUCACGAAGCUAAUUAUACACCGACCCAUUAAUCUGGAACACGUCACCAUCACACACGACCGCGAAUGGACGGACGGACGGACGGAUGGACACACACACACACACACACACACACACACACACGAGACAGCCAAUCACAAGCAAUCACCAAUAAUUCUUUGACUGGUUACCUCUUAUGCCAUGAAUCUGAUUAAAUGUCGUUUUGUGAUGUUGUGACACAGUUGAUUAGGAAACUGGACAUAAAGACAGCGUGUUUUCAGUACUGGACAGCUCCACAUCCUGCUCAUGCUCCUCUACAUAUUACAGGCUCUCAGGUUCCUCCCUUUAGGGGCCCCCAGAAUUGCUGUGUGUCAGUUAGGAUUUGGUCAUUUGACGAAACCUAUUUAUAUGGGAAUAGACAUCAUGUAAAAUAAGUAAUAAAAGCUCAAGCAGGGCUCCUCUACAAGAUGGAACUAGUUAUAAUGCAAGACCUGCCUUAAAGGAUAUUUUUACAUUUUAUUUAGUUUAUUUUAAAACAAUACUCACAUGCACAUAGGUCCUUUCAAAGAGUUACCUGCUGCUGCAAUUGUUCCUCCUAUCCAUACUGAAGAGAUCCCUUCCUAACAUGAAGUCACGGCAUUUUUAAUAUGAAAUUCCCUUUCUGUUACUAUCACUGCACUGCAAGGUAGCACAGGAGCACAAUCUGUAGAAACACAAAAUUUCUAAUAAUACUAAAAAUACUGCACGUUUGACAGAUGCACAGUGUAACUCAUAUUAGCCUCAACUGAACAUAAAAAUGUAUUUUUGCACAGAGCGAGGAUUUUGUCCCCCAUCUCUUACUCUGGAAUCACAUCAGGAAGAGAUCUUUUCACAGCCAGUAUGGACAAGAGGAAUAAUUACAGUGACCAAUAACUCUUUCAAUGAACAUAUGGGCAUGUGAGUGUUGUAAUUAUAAGACUUGAUGUGAACCUAUCCUUUAAGGCCCUUUGUUUCAGUAUGUAUUUUACAUAAGCAAAUUUACAAUGAAUCAAAUUAACACAACUCUAGUCACACAGUAAACUUGGGAUUUUUAAGCCUCCGAGGGUCAAAGUUGCCUGUUUGAUACAAUUAACAUUCUUCGCAACAAAUGCAUUUCUUCUUAUCACACCUCUAAUAGAUACUCGUCUUCUGCAAAUACCAAAUAAGGGCAUUUGUACAGAAAAAGCCACGCUGUAGUGGCA